CUAUCCCGCUCAAUGACUAAACAACGGCCAAACGGGUAGGGUUUCUCAUUGCUCCCUCCUAAACCCUACCGCCAUCCCUUAUCUCCCAUGAUUUUCAGACAAAUCACCAGCAAAAAAUACUUUUUCUCAGUCCGCUUCUUCUCUUCCAUCCUUAAAGACCGUUACGGUUUCGUUGCUUCUUCUAUCCCCAUCCCGCAGAGCUGCAGCCCUAACUCCUCUGAAGUUAAUGGGAACCAGAAGAGAAAGAAGAAUAAGGAGCCCUACCGCCCGCCCUCGUCACUCGACAUGACUGGAAAGAAGAUCAUACACUCCAACCUGCCGUUCGACUUUCGAUUCAGCUAUACGGAGAGUAACCCAAACGUUAAGCCCAUCGGGUUGCGGGAGCCCAAGUAUUCGCCUUUUGGGCCUGGACGGGUUGAUCGUGCUUGGACGGGCGUCUGCGCUCCGGCGGUUGAUCCCGUACUGAAAUCGGUGGAAGGGGAUGUCUCCAACGACGCGGAGAAGAAGUUGGAGGAGUGGCGGAGGAGGAGGAAGAUGAUUAUCGGAGAGAUUCUUACUCCAGCAGAGAGGGCAUUUCUUAUAGAGAAGUGCCAGAAGAACCGGACUAAGCGGCAAGUUAAUCUGGGAAGGGAUGGCCUCACACACAAUAUGUUGAAUGAUAUUCACAAUAACUGGAAGCAUUCUGAAGCUGUCAGGAUAAAGUGUCUUGGCGUGCCCACUGUUGAUAUGAAAAAUGUCUGUAACCAACUUGAGGAAAAGACAGGUGGCCUUAUCAUCCACAGACAUGGUGGUCAGAUCAUCUUGUUUCGAGGAAGGCAUUAUAAUCCCAAGAAAAGGCCUGUGAUUCCAUUAAUGCUGUGGAAACCUCAUGAACCAGUCUAUCCUAGAUUGAUUAGAACAGUUAUAGAUGGAUUGACAAUUGAGGAGACAAAAGAAACGAGGAGGAGAGGCCUUGCUGUUCCUGCCUUAACAAAGCUGGCCAAGAAUGGCUAUUAUGCUAGUCUAGUACCAAUGGUUAGGGAUGCUUUUCUGACUGAUGAGCUAGUUCGUAUAGAUUGCAAAGGCCUUCCUACAACUGAUUACAAGAAAAUUGGAGUCAAACUCCGGGAGUUGGUACCUUGCAUCCUUGUGACUUUCCAGAAGGAACAAGUUGUAGUAUGGAGGGGAAAGGACUAUAAUAGCAAUGCCCACAUAAAAUCUGAACAUAAAUCAUUCUCCCUCGUAUCUAAAUCAGAUGAAAGCACUGAGAAGACCCUCACCGAUAUUUCUGCUCCUUACUAUAGCUCUUACAGUCAUGAUCAAAGCUCAGAUACUGAAGAUUUUGAAAUGGAUCCCAGAAUUGAAGAGCAGGUGAAUAGUCCUCAAUGCAGUUCAGAAGAGUGUCCUUGAUUGCUUCUUUUGAGUUGCUGGCUAGUUUAUUCAGGCGCACAAGUUGAGGAAACUAUGGAGUACAAUAAUUUCUACAGUUUCAGGUGUGGUGGCCUACAAAAAAUUAUCUAAAUUAGAUGAAUGAGCAUUGCAAGGAAAAAAAAAAAGUUUAAAUGACUUCUCCAACCAAACGAAGCCUAAAACGAGGGAUGGAUAGACCUCAAAAGCUGUAUGCAAGCAUAUCAGAGCUAGCAGCGCCAGCUUAGGCUGUCAGAGCAUGCCUAUGAAGACAGGCCGAG